GAGAAGGGUGAGACUUUCCAUUGAGUUGAUUGGCCUCCAUUCUACAAGCCUUUCGAAGGAGCUCUACUUUGUUCUGUGUCUAACAGGUAUUAGCAGAGAAUUUCAGUGUAUCCUUCUGGAAGUCUUUUCAAUAAGAUCAACUGAACCAGCUGCAGGCACAGCUCUGGAAUAGGGUCAGAUCAAUACUGAACUCUUCAGGUGGAUAUCAGUAAAAUGAAAUAUGGAAGAAAGGAGAGCUGAGGUUCUGGGGAUUUAAUAGUAUGUUUUUCUUUGUUUGCUA
rnacentral:lncRNA from 1 species